rnacentral:rRNA from 1 species
GACGUAGGGCGCGAGCGUUGUCCGGAUUUAUUGGGCGUAAAGAGCUCGUAGGCGGCUUGUCGCGUCUGCUGUGAAAACUCGGGGCUUAACUCCGGGCCUGCAGUGGGUACGGGCAGACUAGAGUGCGGUAGGGGAGACUGGAAUUCCUGGUGUAGCGGUGAAAUGCGCAGAUAUCAGGAGGAACACCGGUGGCGAAGGCGGGUCUCUGGGCCGUAACUGACGCUGAGGAGCGAAAGCGUGGGGAGCGAACAGG